GUCUAUGGCCAUACCACCCUGAAUGCAUCAAUCUUGUCUGAUCUCAGAAGCUAAGCAGGAUCGAGCCUAGUACUAAGUACUUCAAGUACUAUGUGCCAGAAAGA
rnacentral:rRNA from 1 species